AGAAUUGAGUAUAGGGGCGAAAGACCAAUCGAACCAUCUAGUAGCUGGUUCCCUCCGAAGUUUCCCUCAGGAUAGCUGGUGCAUUAUAAUAUUAUGUUAAAUAAUCUUAUCUGGUAAAGCGAAUGAUUAGAGGCCUUAGGGUCGAAACGACCUUAACCUAUUCUCAAACUUUAAAUGGGUAAGAACCUCACCUUUCUUGAUAUGAAGGUUGAGGUUAUGAUAUAAUGUGCCCAGUGGGCCACUUUUGGUAAGCAGAACUGGCGCUGUGGGAUGAACCAAACGUAAUGUUACGGUGCCUAAAUUAACAACUCAUGCAGAUACCAUGAAAGGCGUUGGUUGCUUAAAACAGCAGGACGGUGGACAUGGAAGUCGUAAUCCGCUAAGGAGUGUGUAACAACUCACCUGCCGAAGCAACUAGCCCUUAAAAUGGAUGGCGCUUAAGUUGUAUACCUAUACAUUACCGCUAAAGUAGAUGAUUUAUAAUACAAUUUCGAUUGAAUUAUAAAUUUUGAAACUUUAGUGAGUAGGAGGGUACAAUGGUGUGCUUAGAAGUGUUUGGCGUAAGCCUGCAUGGAGCCGCUAUUGGUACAGAUCUUGGUGGUAGUAGCAAAUAAUCGAAUGAGACCUUGGAGGACUGAAGUGGAGAAGGGUUUCGUGUGAACAGUGGUUGAUCACGAGUUAGUCGGUCCUAAGUUCAAGGCGAAAGCCGAAAAUUUUCAAGUUUUAAUGC
rnacentral:rRNA from 1 species